CCGGAAAUCAGAAAAUCGUCAUAUCCGGAAAAUGUAAAUUAUUGACCGGAAGAGGUGUGUGUGUCUAUGAAGCCGGAAACAGGGGUAGGGGUGUUAAAAACUAGUUAAACAUGUUAAACCAUCCUACAGGGGGU